CCUCCUCUGGACACAUCUGUUCCACCUCUGGACACAGCUUUGCCUCCUCUGGACACAUCUGUUCCACCUCUGGACACAGCUUUGCCUCCUCCAAAAUCUUCUCAGUCUUUGGGAAAGAGGAAAAGAGGGACUUUGAGUAAGGCGAGGCCAAAGGUGAAGGCUAAAAGAAAGGGAAUUUACUUCAAGGUAAGACUUCUCUUCUUACCAUCAAUCUUCGAGGAGAAAAUUGAAGAUUUCAUCGUUCUUGGAGAGAAUAGUCCUCUAACUCCAUACCCAACCAUUCAAAUGAAGGACCAGGAUUGGAAAACUGCCCGCUCCAGAAAGUCUCACAGUGUUGUGACAGUCGAAGGAAUUCAGGUUUGUUCCUGCGGUUCGCUGGAUGAGGCCU